rnacentral:rRNA from 1 species
GACGAACGCUGGCGGCGUGCUUAACACAUGCAAGUCGAACGGAAAGGCCCUGCUUUUGUGGGGUGCUCGAGUGGCGAACGGGUGAGUAACACGUGAGUAACCUGCCCUUGACUUUGGGAUAACUUCAGGAAACUGGGGCUAAUACCGGAUAGGAGCUCCUGCUGCAUGGUGGGGGUUGGAAAGUUUCGGCGGUUGGGGAUGGACUCGCGGCUUAUCAGCUUGUUGGUGGGGUAGUGGCUUACCAAGGCUUUGACGGGUAGCCGGCCUGAGAGGGUGACCGGCCACAUUGGGACUGAGAUACGUCCCAGACUCCUACAGGAGGCAGCAGUGCUGAAUAUUCCACAAUGGGCGGAAGCCUGAUGCAGCAACGCCGCGUGCGGGAUGACGGCCUUCGGGUUGUAAACCGCUUUCGCCUGUGACGAAGCGUGAGUGACGGUAAUGGGUAAAGAAGCACCGGCUAACUACGUG